UGGGGAAUUUUGGACAAUGGGCGAAAGCCUGAUCCAGCAAUGCCGCGUGUGUGAAGAAGGCCUUCGGGUUGUAAAGCACUUUUGUCCGGAAAGAAAUCCUUGGCUCUAAUACAGUCGGGGGAUGACGGUACCGGAAGAAUAAGCACCGGCUAACUACGUGCCAGCAGCCGCGGUAAUACGUAGGGUGCAAGCGUUAAUCGGAAUUACUGGGCGUAAGCGUGCGCAGGCGGUUUGCUAAGACCGAUGUGAAAUCCCCGGGCUCAACCUGGGAACUGCAUUGGUGACUGGCAGGCUAGAGUAUGGCAGAGGGGGGUAGAAUUCCACGUGUAGCAGUGAAAUGCGUAGAGAUGUGGAGGAAUACCGAUGGCGAAGGCAGCCCCCUGGGCCAAUACUGACGCUCAUGCACGAAAGCGUGGGAGCAAACAGGAUUAGAUACCCUGGUAGUCCACGCCCUAAACGAUGUCAACUAGUUGUUGGGGAUUCAUUCCUUAGUAACGUAGCUAACGCGUGAAGUUGACCG
rnacentral:rRNA from 1 species